AGCGUACACGGUGGAUGCCCUGGCAGUCAGAGGCGAUGAAGGGCGUGCUAAUCUGCGAUAAGCGCCGGUAAGGUGAUAUGAACCGUUAUAACCGGCGAUACCCGAAUGGGGAAACCCAGUGUGAUUCGUCACACUAUCAUUAACUGAAUCCAUAGGUUAAUGAGGCGAACCGGGGGAACUGAAACAUCUAAGUACCCCGAGGAAAAGAAAUCAACCGAGAUUCCCCCAGUAGCGGCGAGCGAACGGGGAGGAGCCCAGAGCCUGAAUCAGCAUGUGUGUUAGUGGAAGCGUCUGGAAAGGCGCGCGAUACAGGGUGACAGCCCCGUACACAAAAGCGCAUGUGCUGUGAGCUCGAUGAGUAGGGCGGGACACGUGGUAUCCUGUCUGAAUAUGGGGGGACCAUCCUCCAAGGCUAAAUACUCCUGACUGACCGAUAGUGAACCAGUACCGUGAGGGAAAGGCGAAAAGAACCCCGGCGAGGGGAGUGAAAAAGAACCUGAAACCGUGUACGUACAAGCAGUGGGAGCACAGGUUUACCUGUGUGACUGCGUACCUUUUGUAUAAUGGGUCAGCGACUUAUAUUCUGUAGCAAGGUUAACCGCAUAGGGGAGCCGGAGGGAAACCGAGUCUUAAUUGGGCGUUAAGUUGCAGGGUAUAGACCCGAAACCCGGUGAUCUAGCCAUGGGCAGGUUGAAGGUUGGGUAACACUAACUGGAGGACCGAACCGACUAAUGUUGAAAAAUUAGCGGAUGACCUGUGGCUGGGGGUGAAAGGCCAAUCAAACCGGGAGAUAGCUGGUUCUCCCCGAAAGCUAUUUAGGUAGCGCCUCGUGAAUUCAUCUCCGGGGGUAGAGCACUGUUUCGGCUAGGGGGCCAUCCCGGCUUACCAACCCGAUGCAAACUGCGAAUACCGGAGAAUGUUAUCACGGGAGACACACGGCGGGUGCUAACGUCCGUCGUGAAGAGGGAAACAACCCAGACCGCCAGCUAAGGUCCCAAAGUCAUGGUUAAGUGGGAAACGAUGUGGGAAGGCCCAGACAGCCAGGAUGUUGGCUUAGAAGCAGCCAUCAUUUAAAGAAAGCGUAAUAGCUCACUGGUCGAGUCGGCCUGCGCGGAAGAUGUAACGGGGCUAAACCAUGCACCGAAGCUGCGGCAGCGACGCUUAUGCGUUGUUGGGUAGGGGAGCGUUCUGUAAGCCUGUGAAGGUGGCCUGUGAGGGUUGCUGGAGGUAUCAGAAGUGCGAAUGCUGACAUAAGUAACGAUAAAGCGGGUGAAAAGCCCGCUCGCCGGAAGACCAAGGGUUCCUGUCCAACGUUAAUCGGGGCAGGGUGAGUCGACCCCUAAGGCGAGGCCGAAAGGCGUAGUCGAUGGGAAACGGGUUAAUAUUCCCGUACUUGGUGUUACUGCGAAGGGGGGACGGAGAAGGCUAUGUUGGCCGGGCGACGGUUGUCCCGGUUUAAGCGUGUAGGUGUGUGUUCCAGGUAAAUCCGGUUCACUUUAACACUGAGGCGUGAUGACGAGGCACUACGGUGCUGAAGCAACAAAUGCCCUGCUUCCAGGAAAAGCCUCUAAGCAUCAGGUAACAUCAAAUCGUACCCCAAACCGACACAGGUGGUCAGGUAGAGAAUACCAAGGCGCUUGAGAGAACUCGGGUGAAGGAACUAGGCAAAAUGGUGCCGUAACUUCGGGAGAAGGCACGCUGACACGUAGGUGAAGUGAUUUACUCAUGGAGCUGAAGUCAGUCGAAGAUACCAGCUGGCUGCAACUGUUUAUUAAAAACACAGCACUGUGCAAACACGAAAGUGGACGUAUACGGUGUGACGCCUGCCCGGUGCCGGAAGGUUAAUUGAUGGGGUCAGCGCAAGCGAAGCUCCUGAUCGAAGCCCCGGUAAACGGCGGCCGUAACUAUAACGGUCCUAAGGUAGCGAAAUUCCUUGUCGGGUAAGUUCCGACCUGCACGAAUGGCGUAAUGAUGGCCAGGCUGUCUCCACCCGAGACUCAGUGAAAUUGAACUCGCUGUGAAGAUGCAGUGUACCCGCGGCAAGACGGAAAGACCCCGUGAACCUUUACUAUAGCUUGACACUGAACAUUGAGCCUUGAUGUGUAGGAUAGGUGGGAGGCUUUGAAGCGUGGACGCCAGUCUGCGUGGAGCCGACCUUGAAAUACCACCCUUUAAUGUUUGAUGUUCUAACGUGGACCCGU
rnacentral:rRNA from 1 species